rnacentral:rRNA from 1 species
AUUGAACGCUGGCGGCAUGCCUUACACAUGCAAGUCGAACGGUAACAGGUCUUCGGAUGCUGACGAGUGGCGAACGGGUGAGUAAUACAUCGGAACGUGCCCGAUCGUGGGGGAUAACGCAGCGAAAGCUGUGCUAAUACCGCAUACGAUCUACGGAUGAAAGCGGGGGAUCUUCGGACCUCGCGCGGACGGAGCGGCCGAUGGCAGAUUAGGUAGUUGGUGGGGUAAAGGCUCACCAAGCCUGCGAUCUGUAGCUGGUCUGAGAGGACGACCAGCCACGCUGGGACUGAGACACGGCCCAGACUCCUACGGGAGGCAGCAGUGGGGAAUUUUGGACAAUGGGCGCAAGCCUGAUCCAGCCAUGCCGCGUGCAGGAUGAAGGCCUUCGGGUUGUAAACUGCUUUUGUACGGAACGAAAAGUCUCUUUCUAAUAAAGAGGGAUCAUGACGGUACCGUAAGAAUAAGCACCGGCUAACUACGUGCCAGCAGCUGCCGCAG